rnacentral:siRNA from 1 species
AACAGAUUUUAGUUACCAUCGGAC